rnacentral:ncRNA from 1 species
CUUAUCAAGAGUGGCGGAGGCACAGGACCUGUGAUGCCACGACAACCUACCGGUUUCCGGAAAGGUGCCAAUUCCUGCGACGCAGUCGAGAGAUGAG